CUGAUGCGCGUGUUCUUUAGGAGCUCAGGGAUUUGGGUCGCCUACUAUUACUCUACUCUGUAGUUUUUAUCCCCGUGAUGCAAAAUGAGCGCAAGCAGUUCCUAGUUAAACGUACCUCCAGCUUACUGAAUUGCUCGAAUGAGGCCUGGAAUGUACGGCAGAAUCUGAUCUACGAGUAUAUGACAGGAUUUCUGUGUACUGUUCAUACGGCAGGGCUUCUUCUACAUUAUACUCAAAAUUGGAGAUGGUGUUUGCUGAUUUUGGUCCUUUGGGCUUUGUCUCCAUAGUAGUAUUGCAGGUUUUCUGCUCAUGGCUUAUGUACAGGCUCAUUUCCUUUUUCUUUUACGCGCCGGCUUGACCUCAUCAAGUGACAAGUGAGAAUCUGAGGUGAGAUGGCAUGUGGUUUUCCCCCUGUUCUCUCCAUGCUCCAUCAAGAGAUAUUUGCAGAUUUUAGGGUGCCCUGAUAUUUGUAUGAUUCUAGUAAUGCUUUUUUUGCGAGCUUGUUACAUUGCUUUCUUCUGGUUGCUGGUAGCAUGAAAAGCGCAUGAUCUAGUUCAGAAAAGUGCAUAGCCUGAUUCUUGAAAUAAUUUCAUUAUUGCUCUACCCAUGUGAUAUAUGUUUGGGUCUAAUGUGGCUAGUCCGUACGACUCAUGCACUCGUGGGGGCAAGCAGAGACAAUAAUGAGAUUUUGUCCUAUUAAGCAUUUUUGAUAUAUGACCACCGAAUUUGCUGAGCAUUAUUGGAGGGGUACAUUUCAUGGCAUGACUCAUACCUGACAUUUUCCUUGUGUGAUCUACAAGGAUACGGAGGCUGAUCUUGCUAUAGAAUCGUACUCGAACCUACAUAAUAAGCAUGAUUUUCUCUCUGUACAUUGAAAUGUUGGUAUGAGUCAGGAAUUUUUUUGGAGUAUGAAUUCAUAUUGUAAUGUUCACAUCUAGUCUUCUGUUGUUUACUUUAUUCUGAGAUUGUACUAUUUUUUUUAAAGUGCAAUACAUUGAGUGCUAAAAUUGCAGUUUCUGUGGUUGUUGAUGGAAGAUACUGGCCAUGCUCAGAAAAGUGCAAACUCUAUAUAUUCUAGUAAGACAUAUGUUCUGUUAUACUCCCUCCGUUUUUAUUUACUCUGCAUAUUAGAGUUGACUGAAGUCAAACUUCUUAAAAUUUGACCAAGUUUAUAGAAACGAAUAUAAAUAGAUAACAUAACAAAUUUAUAUGAUGUGAAAGUACAUUCAAUAAUAAAUCUAAUGGUAUUGAAUUGUUAUUGUAUAUGUUCGUAUUUUUGUCUAUAAAUUUAGUCAAAGUUUACAAAGCUUGACUUUGACCAAAGCUAAUACGCGGAGUAAAUAAAAAUGGAGGGAGUACUUCUAUAUAAUAACUAUGGUUGGUAAAGAUUCAGACCAAUAGUGGGUUGACCUGUAACUAGUAAUGUUCAAGGCAGCGUGGCGGAAUGACUGGAUGUUGCCCUGGGAUCAGCUUCUCAGUUCCAUUGUUUUAUAUACACAGACUCUGCAGAUUAACUUUGUAUGCGAAUUAUUUGUUAGACAUCCCCACACUCACACCAAAAAAAUUGGAUUGAAGAAUGCACACCAUUGCUUCUUAGUUCUUUCGCAUCAAGGCAAAUGGUAAAAAGGUGUUUCAACAGGAAUGCUGAAUAACCCCUAUUACUUGAUGCAUUUUUAUGUUGCUGAUGAAUAGUUUGAAAGGUGACAAUACCUCAGUUAAGUACCAGUUCAUUUUCUCUAGUAAUCAAAAGUAAAUAGCUAUAUGUAUCUCCUUAAUAAUUAUAGCUGUGUAAUAGGGUAUUAUCAUCACCAGGCCUAAGUUUAACUAAAAUCGAUCAUGCUCAGAGGUUAUGAAUUCUGAUAACUACUCAUUUUAGUCAGAGUUAGGUUGCACACUGCUUUUCAAGUUAGGCAAUACCGUGCUACUUCAAUUAAACCAAGCUUUCUGUUUAGCUGGAAUCCCCAGUCUGGACAACCGCUUCCUGGUGUUUUCUGUAAAGUAUUCAACGAAGUUAUCAACCUUUUCAAAAUACCAUGAUGUGAAACUGUAUGCAUUUGGCUCUGUAUUCCACAUGGGCGUCAUUCCCAUACUAAUGCAAAAUUAUUGCUCAUGGUGCUAUAUAUUAUGAUUUGUCAUUUGCCUAAUGAGGCUGAGGUUGUAAGAUAUGGCUUGUGCCAGAGUUCAACCAUCAGUGGCUUGGUGCGAUGUGUUUGUCGUUGCAGUUGGUUGUGUUUAUAGCUGCCACCUCAGCUGAUACUUGGCUAUGAUGGACAGUCCAAAUUGCAGUAUCAGAGGCACAUGCUCACACAUGGAUGGGCUCCAUGUGUUUCAGUAAAGUCAUGCAGCCCCCUGGAGUUGUACCAUUAAGGUACAGGGGACCUUGACAAAUACAUCUGGCUGUGCCUCAUUUUCAGGGUACUUCCUGAAAGAUUUGUCAAGACAGGGCUAGGAUGGGGGGCAGGCAUUUAUGUUGUUUAAAUUAUUAAAUGUUAUGUUAGUUUUAGAUUGGUACCGCAUGAGUGCCCCUACACCAUAAUUUUCCUCCUUUUUUGAAAAGUAGCUUGCACCUCACAAAGUAAGAAGAAAUGUUGCUGUUGCCCUUAAUUUAUGCUUUGCAUAACUGCAUUCUUAAGCAAGUGUGCAGAUUGAUUUUCCUGAUAUUUCUGUUGCUAGUUUGACGAAGGGAGCUUGAUUGAUCUACGGCCAUGUGUAGUGUUUUGUGAUUUUAGAAAAUGGAAGAUGAAAAGGGAAAUAUGAGAUGCUCGUGUGAAAUUAUUGCAUUAUUAAUUUAUGUAGAAGCUAUAAUGCCAACAAUUGAGUGAUGUACACGUAGCAUCUGGCAUAUGAAGUUGUGCAAAAAACCCAAGCAUCACAUAUGCAAUAUGUCAGGCUUGCAGCUCAGUAGUACAAUUAUGAGCAGUAGUAAUGGGUCUUUUUUCUGGGCGAGCUGGCAAAAUAUUUGGCAUGGCUAUGCUGGAAAUAGUGAAUCUGACGACUGGGGCCAGCUUAGCUGGUUUAUUCCCACACUCAAAGAGAAAGUGAGCUGAAAAGAAUUGAUGCCAAGCUACAGAAGUACUGCAGCAUAUUAAAGAAAUGUAUUGGCCUUGGAGCUUAGCGGACCAGACAUCAAGUCAAGUAUUGGUUCAGUCAAGCUUCUUAUGACAAAAGCAUAAGAUGAAUACCACACAAGAUCAUGGUUUCACGAGAUAUGCUUGCUUCACAUCAUCUGCUAUUCAUGGUGGAACGAUCACUGGAUGUGUUGUACUUGUAUGGAGUAAUUAUGGUGUGCACGUGGGCUUAUCAGAGAAGGAUUGUUACUAGGACCGGAGGCAUGCCUGAGUUGCUUGGACAUAGACAUGUGAUGCUGAUGUUACAUUACCUCUGUGCAAUGCUGUUCGGGGCGUGAUGGUAUGCACCUAUUAGAAUCUGAAGUUAAAACAUAAUGUAGACUAUUCUAGAAAUGGACAUGAUAUAAUGGAUAUGGUAAGUUAUUAAACUCCUCUAAUUGUCCUUUCACUUGGCCAGCCGUCAUGGUGUAUCCACCAAAGUUUGUUCAGCAUUAUUGCAGUUCUGUUACGUGUUGCUGUCGGACACCUGUUUUUUAGGGGUUCACAUGAGGAGUUAGACUUCAAAGUAGCAAGUGGGCAUGUCGGUUAGUGCUGAUCUGGAGAGAGACCAGUCAAGACUUAUUUCCUUGCUGAUAGCUGAGAAACCUGAGAAAUAUUGACGAACAUUGAUUCUUGGAUGCUUCACAAAUGGGACUGUACUAAAGGUAAGAUCUGCCCUGAACUUUACUUUUCUGUCAAUAAUCACUGGAGCAUAUGUUGAUGUGACGCAUUCGCCUAUAUCUUACAUGGUUAGAAAGGAAUCCCACAGUUGUACUUGAAGCAAGGGACCUUGACUAAAAUAAGUUCUGUUCACUUUUUACGGACUGACAGAUCUUUAUGUUUUUUUCUUACAUUUUUACUUUGCGCGGCAGCUGUUAUGUGUUAUCCAAGAUAGAUCAACAUACUAUGUUGAAGAAUUUGCCAACACUGUGCGUUUGUGUCGGAGCCCCAAAUAAGUUACAGACCGGGAUUUUAUUGUGAUUACAGUGUCUCGGAGCUAUGGUGUUGAACACUACAUCUCUGUUCUUCACUCUGAGGAUAAUAACUAGAUCCUGUACCAUUGCCAAAUAUAUAAAUCAUAACGUGAUAAAAAUAUAUAGUAUUAAUUACUCUAUCUAAACAGUGCAUUACUUGUUGUGCAUUAGUUGUAGUCAUCCAGGAAACAGUUGAAAAGGAAAGCUGAAUAGAAACAACUAUAUAUUCCAUAAGAUGCAGGGAGGGGCUUAGAUAAUUGUUCUUGUAGCCAACACCAGUCAUUGCCUUGUCAGUAACAAUGGCCGGCUUCUGCUGCUAAACAAGCUCCCAUGUGUGACCGCACAUAG